UGUUGGGCGUGAGAGCUCCCCCUGCUGGCCUCCUGGCUCUCUUCUAAUGAGGUUUCCUUUCAUCCCUUUUCACACGGGCAGGGGCUCCAUAGGGAGAAGAAACAGAAUCGAAUAAAUGCGUGUCAGAUAAAUGAUGGGAGGAAUUCCUGACGUGUGCCCCCUGGAGCCAAUACCCAGCUGAGUUGAGGAGUGGGCAGCGCUCGUCAAGGAGUGGCGAGAACUGUCUCCAUUUCGACGCCUGCCUCAGUGCUGCGCAGGUCAAACAAAACUCAACCCAGGGUCGGAUGUGCUUGUGGGCAGGCGGCUCGAGUCUCUGAUCUGAAGGCUGCCUGUCCUCCAGAUUGUCAAUGGUGCCCUUCUCCACGAAGCUUCAGGCUCACCUGGCCACCCAGCUCCCAGCGACCUGGAAUUGCUACUGCCUUUGUUUUUAAAUCUUUAUUUUUCUGUGCAUGAAAGGAAUCCCCUUUCUUGGUGAAAAAUUCAAACCUUACAGAAAUGUCUAACCCAUAAACACAGACACAAUCCUAUAGCUACCUUCCACCCACAUCACCACCAGGACUCGUUGGUGAAUAUUCCUGCGGAUAUUUUAAGGGACUUUUUCCCCCUCGGUUCACAAAACUGAAAUCUUACUGUAUAACCAUUGUACAAUCUCUUUUUUCCAUAAUAACAUGGGGUGGACAACUUUUUAUGGCAGUGACAAUGAACUCAAUUUAUCCUUUUUU